rnacentral:sRNA from 1 species
GGAGAAGAGGUGAGAGAAGAAUGGGAGCGAUUCGAGUUAUAAUUGGUUGUGAGGGAGGGGUCUAGGUACAGAUGACUGAGGACGGAUGAAGAGAAAUAGAAGGACCAGGCGAAUAAAAGUGAGGACCUGAAGGAGAAGAAGGAGAAGGUGGAGGAGAAGGCAAGCCGGAAAGAGCGAAAGAAAGAAGUGGUGGAGGAGGAGGAGAACGGGGCUGAGGAGGAAGAAGAAGAAACUGCCGAGGAUGGAGAGGAGGAAGAUGAAGGGGAAGAAGAAGAUGAGGAAGAAGAAGAAGAGGAUGACGAAGGGCCCGCGCUGAAGAGAGCUGCCGAAGAGGAGGAUGAAGCGGAUCCCAAACGGCAGAAGACAGAAAAUGGGGCAUCGGCGUGAGCCCCUGCCAACAGGCUGGGGUUGGGAGGCCUCUCUGGGCCUGGAGGUGGGGGUGGGGGCAGACAAGUCCAGCCACUCUUCACCUGGCUCCCUGCUCUGGGCCCUGCACCAGAGCUGCCACCCUCUUCUUUCUCCCCAGCCUUCUCAUUUCCGCCUCUCCAGACACUGCGCCCUCCACCCUCACUCUGCCAUUGUUCCACCUCCUGACCUGCUCCAUCUGAGCUCUCCAGCUGGCCCCCAAUUGCUCCUCUCUCUCUUUGCUCUCUUUCUCCCUCCCCUACCAGCCUCAUUCUUCCUCCGGUAGCCUCUCCCACCUAACCUCUGCAUCCCCCAGCCUCAUGUUCUGCCCCAUCCCUAUCCUGCCUGAUCCCUGGAUCUCCCUCAGAUCCCCUCUUCUCAGACAGCGCCAGGCCGGGGUGGGGCCGGGGUUGGG